rnacentral:lncRNA from 1 species
CCCCCCCCCCCCCCCCCCCCCGCCGUCUUCCUCCCGUCUCCCUUCCGGCACCGACCACAUCCGGCCCCACGUGCCAACCGUAGACCUGCAGGCGCCCGGGGCAGUCGACCCCGACGCGAUCCAGCCCGGCGGGCUCCUUUCUGUCCAGUGCUGGAUUCCAGCUGGUGGGAAGGACUAACGUGUUCUCUGUGGGAGAUGAUCUCACCGACUAUGCCUGUGGGGCCUUUGGUGCCUGUGACCCCGUGUCCUCGCACAGCUGGCCCAGGACAAAACACACUGGGACCCCAGCAGAUGCAGGCUCACAACCUCACAGCAACAAGUCCAGCAGAGAAAGAGCUUCUCUUUGUCAACCAUCCCACCAGGCCUUGGGCCCGGCUCUCAUCAGCAGGACUGGGCCACCUGUCCCUCCUGUUCUCCCAGCCACCGUGACCUCGAGAUUGAUCAUGAGGCAGCUGACGGAUCGGACAAUCCUGCCUUGCUCCCGGCCCAUGAGGCAUCCUGGGAGGACAAUGGGAGUCCUACACUGGGAAUGGACCUCAGAAGCCCCCACUCUCAUUUGCUGGCUUUCAAGCAAUUGCAGGUGUGUUACUUCAACUACAGUAUGUCCACCGAUGCUAAUUUUUACAAAAGUGAGAUUUUCAAAUAUCAGGGUCUUUGUGUGACUUUGUAACAAGAUGUCAAGCGACUAGGCAUUUUAAAUUCAUUGGUGGUUAAAUAUGGUUAAUACCAUCCCCUGAAUUUAAGAUCCAAUGGCAAAACUGGGUAUUAUAUUUAAUAAAACAAGGGGGUGAAGCA